GCUCUGUAGGGUGCAAGCCCGAGAGAGCCGCAGUGAAUAGGCCCAGGCGACUGUUUAGCAAAAACACAGGUCUCUGCGAAGCCGUAAGGCGAAGUAUAGGGGCUGACGCCUGCCCGGUGCUGGAAGGUUAAGAGGAGCGCUUAGCGUAAGCGAAGGUGCGAAUUGAAGCCCCAGUAAACGGCGGCCGUAACUAUAACGGUCCUAAGGUAGCGAAAUUCCUUGUCGGGUAAGUUCCGACCCGCACGA
rnacentral:rRNA from 1 species